UACCCACAUUGAAUGACUUCUCCCACUUCCCCAGUUUUCAGAAUCUCUUUCUCUCUCUUCCUCCCUCCUCUCCUGCGAUCGUUCUCUCUCAACCUCCUCAGCCAUUUUCGACCUCUCUCCUCUGUUCUUUGCGUCUUCUGCCAAAAUUUGUAGAUCCAAUUCCUUCAUCUUUCUUGAAAAUCAAUAAUUUGUUACCAAUUUGACUAUGUAUUUGAUUGGACAAUUUUGAAAUAUCCACAAAAUAAUUGGUUCUAGCUCCAGACCAAGGCCAGCCGCAAAACCAGCUUUAACUCCUGGACCUUCUGCUGAAAGAGCUGAGAGGACUUCAGGUAUUUUGUAGUACAUAUACAUUUAUUUUAUUUUAUUUAAGUAUUACAGACUGUUGGGUUUAUGCUCCAUGGGGACAAGAAAUUCGGGAUAAAUUUCUGGCGCAGUUGAGGCGUUUGCUAGAAGAAAUCAUCCAGGCUUGGGUUCGCAAGGUGAUCAUUCACGUCAUAGAUCAUCAGAUGAUCCAUCAUCGAAGGAUGUGGUAAAGGGAGCAUGAGUUGGCUUCAUCAAGCAAACCGUGAAAGAAGUUGUAUUUCAAGGAACAAGAGUACUUCAAAGAGAUCAGCAAUUGCAUCAUGAAGUAGGCCAAGUUCUUCUCGUGAGCCCAGUGAUGGCAGGUCAAGCAGGCUGAUAUUAUAUGUUUUUUGUUUUGCUAUUACAUUGUGGCCAAUGAAGGCCUGGUUACUUGGGGUGGGUGCAAGCAAUAGGUUACUGUAGAAUUGUGCUAAGUUGGUGAUGCUUAUUUUCCAUUGGUGCUGGUUUGAAGCCAGCUUUGUAGUUUGACUUGCUACAUUACCAAAGUUGAUCUAUUGACUUUGUAAUUAAUUACUCGUACUUUAUAGUCAGGUAACACUAUCCGACUAGCUCAAUAGGUAGAGCAUUGUGCUAAUGCACAAAAGAUGUGGUUCGAAUCCCACGUAGGUUCAUAUUUACUUUUUUUAUUGUCUUAUUUACUUUUAGUUUGAAAACGUUUACUUUGGCCUCCAUAUACUCCAAUACUUGGAGUUUCUAUGUUGUAUAAAAUUUUUGAUUUUUUUUUAUUUACUUUUGAGAAAUUUUAAUUUACUUUUGAGAUGAUAUUAUUUACUUUUGAAUUGUUUUAUA